rnacentral:rRNA from 1 species
CUACGGGCGGCAGCAGUAGGGAAUAUUGCGCAAUGGGCGAAAGCCUGACGCAGCGACGCCGCGUGAGUGAUGAAGGUCCGCUGGAUUGUAAAGCUCUGUAAGGAGGGAAGAACCGCCUGGUGUAACGGCCAGGUCUGACGGUACCUCCAAAGUAAGCACCGGCUAAAUAAGUGCCAGCAGCCGCGGUAAUACUUAUGGUGCGGGCGCUGUCCGGAAUGACUGGGCGUAAAGGGUGCGUAGGCGGACUUUCAAGUCAGGUGUGAAAUCCCCGGGCUUAACCUGGGAACUGCGCUUGAAACUGGAAGUCUAGAGUAUGUGAGGGGUUAGCGGAAUUCCCGGAGUAGCGGUGAAAUGCGUAGAUAUCGGGAAGAACACCGGUGGCGAAGGCGGCUAACUGGCACAUGACUGACGCUGAGGCACGAAAGCGUGGGGAGCGAACGGGAUUAGAUACCCGCGUAGUC